AGUAGUUUGAUCCGUGGCUCGAGACGACGCUGGCGGCGUGCCUAACACAUGCAAGUCGAGCGGGGGACAUACGACGGACAGGAAGUUUUUCGGAUGGAAUGGAAGAUGUAUGUUCUAGCGGCGGACGGGUGAGUAACGCGUGAGCAACCUGUCCCUUACAGGGGGAUAACACAGCGAAAGCUGUACUAAUACCGCAUAAGACCACAGAGAGACAUCUCACAGGGGUCAAAGGAGCAAUCCGGUAAGGGGUGGGCUCGCGUCCGAUUAGAUAGUUGGUGAGGUAACGGCCCACCAAGUCAACGAUCGGUAGCCGACCUGAGAGGGUGAUCGGCCACAUUGGAACUGAGAGACGGUCCAAACUCCUACGGGAGGCAGCAGUGGGGAAUAUUGGGCAAUGGGCGAAAGCCUGACCCAGCAACGCCGCGUGAGUGAAGAAGGCUUUCGGGUUGUAAAGCUCUGUUAUAGGGGACGAAGGAAGUGACGGUACCCUAUAAGGAAGCCCCGGCUAACUACGUGCC
rnacentral:rRNA from 1 species